rnacentral:lncRNA from 1 species
UUUCUCGGAAGAACCUUUUGCAUCAGGAGAUGCAGAUUCAGCAGAAUCUUUUUUCUCACUUGCUGUUGAUGGCGGAGCCUCCGGUUCUUCCAGUGUACAUGAUGAUCCUAAACCUUGGAUAAACGUGCUUUCUCUAAGAGAAGGUGAAUCCCAUGCCCUAUUUUUUUGCUUUACCAAGUUUACAUUGGCAUGGAAAGAGUUAACCCGAGCAUCUUUCUGAUUGUGAUGAUCAAAGUCCUGAUGUGUCCAAGAAGGUGAGGAAAUCAUACUUUUAUAUCUGCAUUCAUCCUGAGCUCCGUAAUCUAGGUUAGGUGCAUUGGAUACAUCAAUGAAUGCAAAAGAAUCACUAGAUGAACAUCGAUGACGGCCUUUGUACAUAGGACUCCCUGGUUCGUUAAGGAGAUUGUCAAGCCAAGAAGGUUGUUCCUCUAUCAGAUGACUUUCAGAGGAAGUAUGCUGGUGGUACGUACUUCCCACUCUAGACUUUUGAAUCACUUUUGAUCCAAUUACAUUGUUCGGGAUAUAAUCGGUAUACACAGGGGAGGCUAUAGGAAGAGGACUUUUAGGAGGAAGCAAAGCGUGUUUUCCGGCAAACAUCAAAUUUCUUAUAUUUGUUGACCCCUUCGAAUUCGCAAUGACCAAGGACAACCAGUUCCUGCAAAGUAACAUAUAAGAGAGACUGAUCAUGUAGUACCCUUGUUAUAUAGCAGAUAAUGAUCUAAACAUCAAAAUAUCCAUGUUCGAUGCACAAUAUAUGCGUAACAACGAGACAUUCCAGUAAAUAUUCACGAAAACAAACUAAAAGAUCACACAAGAACAUUAAAAAAAAAAUCAUGAAUUAUACAUUGCAUACAUAUUUCAACUUAUCGAGCAAUCACUGAAUUUUGUACCUUCAUAGCUUGUAAUAGCUAUUGUGCCCUUUCCCUUGACUUCUAAGUACUCACCAUUUCCAAUCCUCACUCUUUUGACUUCAGUGUUUCUCAAUUCCUCGAAGAGCUCCUUGUCAUACAUCAUGUGAUUUGUGCACCCACUGUCAAUCAACCAGCUCUCACUUGAUUCUCUUCCUGAGAAACAAGUAACCACGAACAAUUGAUCUUCGUUCAACUCAGAACCAAGCAAUCUCACCUUGUUGGCAAUGCUGAGAAGUCUGUCAGAAUAUUCUUUCACUGACUCAGACUCCUUCAUCUUCUGUAACUCGAAAUCCCCGAUUAGAUUCAGGACUUUCAUUCCACGAAUCCUUUCAUCUCCUUCGUACUCAGCCUUGAGGUAAUCCCAGAUUUCCUUUGCUGAUUUCAGAGACAUUAUUCGUGUGAAAAUCAUUUGAGACUCUGUUGCAAAUAAGCAAGCUUUUGCCUUUGAUUUCCUUGUCUUCUUUUCCUUUUGUGCUAUAAUCUGUGUCACAGUAGGAUUUGCUGGAAGUGGUGGGACCUCGUAAUCCUCUUCUACAAGUUCCCAAAGAUCUAAAGCCUCCAGGUAAGUCUUCAUGCGAACUGCCCACAUCUGGUAAUUGUCUCCAUCGAAGACUGGUGGUGCAGCAACUAAAAAACUGGACCCUCCUCCCAUCUUAACACGCAAAUAACCUCACAGAUCCCUGAAGAAAAUAACUCCGAUAGCAAUUUGUUGGUGAUUAGAACUCGAACUUUGACGAUUGAUCGAGAGAUUUGAAGCAGAAAGAAGAGAAAAGAAGUUUUAAGAUAGAAAAUAAUUAAAGACUGGAAUAAUAAUUGAUUUGCAAUUCAACAAUUUAAAUAUAAAAGUUCAAGACUAAAAAUAGAAAAAGAGUUCUAAAAAAUUGGCUAAAAUUCUGGUAACAAUAUACCAAACAAAUCAAGAAACUAAGCUCCUAAAGUCAAAGGAGAAUUAUUUAAACUUAGUAACAAAAAAAAUUAAAUGGCAGCAAUAAACACAUGAUCUCAACACUUUCUAAGAAGCAUAGCAACUUUUGGUAUACAUUUGAGCAGAACUUGAGUAAUUAUCACCAUGGCCCUUGACAACUUCAAUUUUAUAAUGUGGACCUGUAACUGUAUCAUCGUCUUUGUAAAGAACAAUAACAUCACCGGUAUUUAACCGUUUGAACCGGACAAAUUGGAUCCAACCGGAAACUAUGUCGAGUUUCGGAACAACCCCAGAUCGUAUAGUGCAAUAAAAGUUCCAUGAGAUUCCGACAUCAUCUUUAACCUGCAACUUUUCUCCUCCAUGGCUCCGUUGUGAUUGUUGCAAAGCUUGUAAGCAGCUGUCUGGUAACGAUAGUGUUCUUUCGAUGUCGAUUUUUGUGAGAACUUUAAAGAAACUUGCCAUGUUUGAACUGAAAAGUGGUCAAGUUUAUGCUUAUACUCCUAAAGAGAAAGAGAACGAGAACGAGACUGGAUUGAAAAUUGAAAACGCCAGAUAAAAUAAAACGAGGGAUCGUGCGUUUGUGAUUUGGGGUCUUUUUUAUUGAUUUUUGUUGGAUUAAAGAAAAAAAAAAGUUCUUACAUGUGGUUGUCAUUAGGUCAAAUGUCUUCUUUAAUAAUCAAAGUUGGUCGCUCGAGAUUUCGCAACCCAAUGGCUGUUACCUGCACUGUCGCGCGGCACCUUUUUUUUUUUUAAUUUUGUCCACUGAGUUUUAAUUUUAAUUUAAUUGAUAUUUUAUUGCAAUCAAUGUUAAUUGGAUUCGCAUAUAUUUGAUUGGUGAUACUAAUGAAUUUUUUAGAUGAGUGGUAUGUUUAUUUUCAGUUAUGAUAAAAAUAAUGAUAACAGUGAUAAGAUUAGAUAAUAUAACGUGAGAGAAAAAAAAUUAAACGCACUGUACUAGAAUUCACCGCCCAUCCAAAAGGAACUAAGAAUCAGUCAAAUAAAUGGGUUGAAUUAGUAAUCACUCGGAAUUAAUAAAUAAAAAUAAAAAAUUAAGAUUAAAAUUAAUGGUUGAAUCUAUUUUUAUAAAAUUUUUAAUAUUUUCUAUUAAUUUAUUUUAUCAUUGUUGGUUGAAUAAGGAUAGAAAUUGACGGUUGAACAUCGAAUAAAGAAUUAGUGAUCUGAUCAAUACAAUGUAAAAAAUUGUAGUAACUUGAACUCAAUCGAAUUUUAUUUUUGUGAUUUGAUUUAUAUUUAAUUUUUUUUAUGAUGUAAAAAUAAAUAUUUUAUAUUUAUAAUAGUGAAAAUAAAUUAAAUGGUAUUUGUUAGAAUGAGUUAACGUAGUUUUUAAACCCUAAACCCAAUUUCAGUUCAAGCAAUACAAAUGUUUAAUGGUAUUUGCUCAAGAGAAGCUGAACAUUCACCAUACAUAGAUUGGGAAUAUGGAAGUUGAAAGAGUAAUCAAAUGGAUCUAAUUAUGAAAAUGGUGAACCUAAUUUCUUCUUCCUGCUCCAAUUGCAGAAACCGAGAAAGGGUCGUCUCGGCUUUUGGGGUAUGCGGAAUCUACUUUCGUAGUAACCUCACACAUGUUUUGUGUCAUCUCAUGCGAUGAAGAGUUGAAGACGGGUACAACGUCCGGUGUAGAAGAAGAAUCUAUAUAACGGAGGUCGCAGUGGCGGCUAAAUUAAGAACUUAGAUGCGAACUGGACCGAUGAUAGGGUCAAGAGAGGAACUGCUAUCAUUAUGUUUCAGAGAGAGGUUUGCGAAUUGGGAAUCAAGAUCUCUACUGCUAGAGCAUUGAUGGCUAGACGACGACUGCUGUUGAUUUUGCUGCUGGUACAUAACUCGUAACCGACCGAUCUCCCUCUCCAAUACCUCCUGCUCAACUGAGAAGAAACAUGGAUGCAUAAUUCAGUCUUUAUUCAAUAAAUUUUGAUUCUAAUCAAUUAAAACAAUUACAGUUCAUAGCAACAUAGAUCGAUGAUGGGCCAUUAGCCACAUUGACCUUUUUCUAUCAUGCUUUUGGAAGAUCUAAUACAUUGUUAAGAGAACCUGCUAUGUCGAUAUGAUAAGUUUUUUUUAAUCACCCAACUAUAAAAAGUUAAAAAAUAUCACCCAUCUAUUCGAAUUUUUCUUUUUCGGUCACCAGCCAUUGGAAGGUAACUUGACAGCUUUUAAAAUUAACAUAGUAACAAAUUUAACUUCUCAACAUUUAUAUACUAUGUGAAUUUAGUCACGAUUUUAAAAAAUUUAACUCUUAACGUUUACACAUUGUGUAGCUUGGUCUACUUUUUUUUAAAAUAUUUUUCUUUAUGUCAUUCACUUAAAAAGUAAACCAAAAAAAAAACCAAAUUUAUCAAAAAUAUACUAAAAAUGAAAACACUAGGAAGUCCAAGAUAAUAUUUUUUAUCUUUUCUCAUUCUUUUAAAAUUAACCCUCGAUAUCACAAAUAAAAGUAAAACUGCAAAAAAAAAAAAAACAAAUUAUAUAGUGUAUAAAUAUUGAGGGUUAAUUGGUGAUAAAAAAAAAACAAAAGUGAAUAAUUGGGUGACCAUUUGUAACUUUUCAUAGUUGGUGAUUAAAAAAGAAAUUUACUAUUAAUUGAAUAACUACCAAUGUAGUUCAACUUAUAAUAUUCAUGUCCGACACACAUAUAUGACGCAUAUCCAAACAUGGAUAUGGGGCUACAACCCUCCAAAGGCACUCCAAAUAUAAGGAAAAGCCCAAGGGACAUCUACUCAUAUCCAACGCUCAUACCCGAGUCCCAUUUGUGCUCUCGAGGAAGGGGGAAAAUCAAAUUUUCCAAGCAUAGAACAAAACCAAAAGAAUAUGACAUGGACCCCCCCCCCCCUUUAACAUGAAGAGAAAACUAGUAAAAGUGGCUCAAACUAUCUGAAAAAUGAACUCUCCGGUGAUUUUUCAGAUCAAAGUUUCUACUCCCUGGAUUUAUCACACCUCUCGUAUUGCCAAUUCAUACAGGUCGAAAAUAUGGAGUAUAUACAAAUAAUUAGAAGGUAAAAAGAAAAAAAAAAGUGAAAAGUGAUACAUAUUUCGUAAUGCAGAAAAAAAAAAUCUAAUCAUAGCUUUAGAAGUCAUGGGUUCGAUGCUUACGAUAUUUGAUAGCUUGUUCUUGAGCUAAACUCUCUAAACGUUGCUUAAGAGCUUUGUUCUCCAUGCUAAGAAUAAGAUUCUGCUGGUUGAGAAAUUCGAGCUCAGCUGAAACUUCAGACCCUUCUGCCUGUUAUUUAAGAACCACAUUUCAUACUUCCAUAUUGAGGCAUAUACCGAUCCAUAACUUCUAAGUCAAUUUCAAAUGUAAAUAAAUGUUUAAAAUUUCGAUUUGCACAAACUCUUGCCUGCAAGGCUUGUACAUUUCUUUCGAGCUCAGCUAUGUACUGGAGUUUACGCCCCCUUGAGCGUUGAGCAAACUGCCUGGAUAAGACAAUAACAAAAGUACUGUAAUCAAACAUAAGAAAACAUAAUACGUAUUACUGUUAUGCUUCCAUAAGUAUCUAUGCAUGAAAAACCUGCUAACAGACAAUACAAAAGCAGGCUCAUAUACCUUGAUCCUGUAUGUGCAUGAAAAAAAAUAGUAGCACAAUAGCCAACUAGUGUUAUUCAUUGAGCUCAUAAAAUGUAACUUUUAAAUGAUAUUUGAUAACAGUGUGAGAUUCGGCUCAAAGUAAGCACAAGCAGGGAACAAAAAGUAGCACAGAGGCCCUUGUAACCAGGAGAACACUGUAGGUUGCUUUACUGUAAUUGUAAUGUAAUUCAAUUGUGAAACAAUAAAAUGGCAACUCACUGCUUCGCACGUUUUGAUUCAGUGUCAGAUGAAGAAGACUUAGUGUGAGAAUUAUCCUUUUUCUCGGAAGAACCUUUUGCAUCAGGAGAUGCAGAUUCAGCAGAAUCUUUUUUCUCACUUGCUGUUGAUGGCGGAGCCUCCGGUUCUUCCAGUGUACAUGAUGAUCCUAAACCUUGGAUAAACGUGCUUUCUCUAAGAGAAGGUGAAUCCCAUGCCCUAUUUUUUUGCUUUACCAAGUUUACAUUGGCAUGGAAAGAGUUAACCCGAGCAUCUUUCUGAUUGUGACGAUCAAAGUCCUGAUGUGUCCAAGAAGGUGAGGAAAUCAUACUUUUAUAUCUGCAUU